rnacentral:rRNA from 1 species
GUGGGGAAUUUUGGACAAUGGGCGCAAGCCUGAUCCAGCAAUGCCGCGUGCAGGAAGAAGGCCUUCGGGUUGUAAACUGCUUUUGUACGGAACGAAACGGUCCUGGUUAAUACCUGGGGCUAAUGACGGUACCGUAAGAAUAAGCACCGGCUAACUACGUGCCAGCAGCCGCGGUAAUACGUAGGGUGCGAGCGUUAAUCGGAAUUACUGGGCGUAAAGCGUGCGCAGGCGGUGCUGUAAGACAGGCGUGAAAUCCCCGGGCUCAACCUGGGAAUUGCGCUUGUGACUGCAGUGCUGGAGUGCUGCAGAGGGGGAUGGAAUUCCGCGUGUAGCAGUGAAAUGCGUAGAUAUGCGGAGGAACACCGAUGGCGAAGGCAAUCCCCUGGGCCUGCACUGACGCUCAUGCACGAAAGCGUGGGGAGCAAACAGGAUUAGAAACCCUGGUAGUCC